rnacentral:rRNA from 1 species
CCUACGGGAGGCAGCAGUGGGGGAUAUUGCACAAUGGGGGGAACCCUGAUGCAGCGACGCCGCGUGGGUGAAGGAGCGUUUCGGCGCGUAAAGCCCUAUCGGCAGGGAAGAAGAUGACGGUACCUGGCCAAGAAGCCCCGGCUAACUACGUGCCAGCAGCCGCGGUAAUACGUAGGGGGCAAGCGUUAUCCGGAUUUACUGGGUGAAAGGGGGGCGGAGGCGGAAGAUCAAGUCAGCGGGAAAAUUGAGGGGCUCAACCUGUUCGAGCCGUUGAAACUGGUUUUCUUGAGUGAGCGAGAAGUAUGCGGAAUGCGUGGUGUAGCGGUGAAAUGCAUAGAUAUCACGCAGAACUCCGGUUGCGAAGGCAGCAUACCGGCGCUCAACUGACGCUCAGGCACGAAAGUGUGGGUAGCGAACAGGAUUAGAUACCCGAGUAGUC